rnacentral:rRNA from 1 species
UACGGAGGGUGCAAGCGUUAAUCGGAAUUACUGGGCGUAAAGCGCACGCAGGCGGUUGGUUAAGUUGGAUGUGAAAUCCCCGGGCUCAACCUGGGAACCGCAUCUGAAACUGGCAAGCUUGAGUCUUGUAGAGGGGGGUAGAAUUCCAGGUGUAGCGGUGAAAUGCGUAGAGAUCUGGAGGAGUACCGGUGGCGAAGGCGGCCCCCUGGACGAAGACUGACGCUCAGGUGCGAAAGCGUGGGGAGCAAAUAGG